AUGAACGCUGGCGGCGUGCCUAAUACAUGCAAGUCGAGCGAACUUUUGGGAGCUUGCUCCCAAAAGUUAGCGGCGGACGGGUGAGUAACACGUGGGUAACCUGCCUGUAAGACUGGGAUAACUUCGGGAAACCGGAGCUAAUACCGGAUAACAUUGAAGACCACAUGACCUUCAAUUAAAAGGUGGCUUUUAGCUACCACUUACAGAUGGACCCGCGGCGCAUUAGCUAGUUGGUGAGGUAACGGCUCACCAAGGCGACGAUGCGUAGCCGACCUGAGAGGGCGAUCGGCCACACUGGGACUGAGACACGGCCCAGAUUCCUACGGGAGGCAGCAGUAGGGAAUCUUCCGCAAUGGACGAAAGUCUGACGGAGCAACGCCGCGUGGGCGAAGCAGGCCUUCGGGUCGUAAAGCUCUGUUGUUAGGGAAGAACAAGUAUCGUUCGAAUAGGGCGGUACCUUGACGGUACCUAACCAGAAAGCCACGGCUAACUACGUG
rnacentral:rRNA from 1 species